AUCCAGCUGACGAGUCUCAAAUAGGACGGAACAAGCGUUCUGGAU
rfam:Schistosoma curassoni strain Dakar, Senegal genome assembly, scaffold: SCTD_contig0003853